rnacentral:rRNA from 1 species
GAUGAACGCUGGCGGCGUGCCUAAUACAUGCAAGUCGAGCGAACGGACGAGAAGCUUGCUUCUCUGAUGUUAGCGGCGGACGGGUGAGUAACACGUGGAUAACCUACCUAUAAGACUGGGAUAACUUCGGGAAACCGGAGCUAAUACCGGAUGAUAUUUUGAACCGCAUGGUUCAAAAGUGAAAGACGGUCUUGCUGUCACUUAUAGAUGGAUCCGCGCUGCAUUAGCUAGUUGGUAAGGUAACGGCUUACCAAGGCAACGAUGCAUACCCGACCUGAGAGGGUGAUCGGCCACACUGGAACUGAGACACGGUCCAGACUCCUACGGGAGGCAGCAGUAGGGAAUCUUCCGCAAUGGGCGAAAGCCUGACGGAGCAACGCCGCGUGAGUGAUGAAGGUCUUCGGAUCGUAAAACUCUGUUAUUAGGGAAGAACAUAUGUGUAAGUAACUGUGCACAUCUUGACGGUACCUAAUCAGAAAGCCACGGCUAACUACGUG